GUGCUUAUUGACUAAUGAAAUUAUCAUUCAUAAUAUGAUAAUUUGGUUUGAGUCUUUCUGAUGGUGGUCCGGUUGGCCGGCCAAAGUCGGGCCUGAUCAUUUAUUGGUCCGAUUCACCAAAUCAAGUCAUGUUAAUGGUUGGACCUAACCAGAUCUUUUUAGUGGAAGCCAAAGCUUACUGAUUAGGUUCUGGAGCAAAAUUUAUUACUAGAAGUUGUUUAGAGAAACAACUGGUUAUGAACCUACCCAUA
rnacentral:lncRNA from 1 species